CAGUAGCGUAUAUUAAAGUUGUUGCAGUUAAAAAGCUCGUAGUUGGAUUUCUGGUACGCUGCGCCUGGCCCGCCCACGUUAGUGGUGUGAGUGUCGGUGCGCGGUUGCCAUCCUUCUAGAGAACGUGUCUACCUUUAAUUAGGCCGGGCUACGGGAUCUAGAUCUUUUUACUUUGAAAAAAUUAGAGUGUUCAAAGCAGGCUUUUUGCUGUGAAUACAUUAGCAUGGAAUAAUAAUCUAGGACUUCGGUUUUUAUUUUGUUGGUUUCUAAAAAUUGAAGUAAUGAUUGAUAGGGAUAGUUGGGGGGUGCUAGUAUUGGCCGGCCAGAGGUGAAAUUCUUGGAUUCGGUCAAGACUAACUUAUGCGAAAAGCAUUCACCAAGGAUGUCUUCUUUAAUCAAGAACGAAAGUUGGG
rnacentral:rRNA from 1 species